rnacentral:lncRNA from 1 species
UGUUGGAAGUCGUCUUGCUUAAUAUGGAUUCUAAUGAGAUAGAUGGUUUUGUGGAGUGUGUUAACUCUCUAUAAGGACUAAAUUCAUACAACUACACACCAAGAAAUUUGUCCUUCAACCUUGACAAUAGGAAGAUCACUCCUAUAACAAAGCCUUCAUUUGAAGAGUCAUCAUCAAUAUAAUCCUUGAUUUCUCUCAUUCUUUUUAUUUGAGAAUUCUACAUGGUAUCAGAAACAUAAGCUCUUCCACUCUCUAAGUAUUGAAUAAAAAAAUAACCAUACGUCCAACUGCAAUAUUGGCUCCCCCUACCAAUACCCUGUCAACUAUUUCUUUUCACCACCUCAUUGCCUCUUGUUCUAUU